UGGCUCUUGCAUCGAUGAAGAACGCAGCGAAAUGCGAUAAGUAAUGUGAAUUGCAGAAUUCAGUGAAUCAUCGAAUCUUUGAACGCACCUUGCACUCCUUGGUAUUCCGAGGAGUAUGCCUGUUUGAGUGUCAUGGUAUUCUCAAACCCUUCUUCACCUUUUGCAAAGAGAGGGGGAAGAAGUUGUGUUUGGAAUUGGAGGUUUAUUGCUAGACUUGCAUCUAGCUCCUCUGAAUUGUAUUAGCUUGAAUUGCUUUCUCAUCAAGCAUGAUCCAGUGUGAUAGUUUGUUUACGUUGCUUCAUGUUGAUGUGUUUUUGUUGAUUUCAAGCUUCAAAGUGUCUCUAAUUUUGGGACUUGACAACUUUGAACAUCUGACCUCAGAUCAGGUAGGACUACCCGCUGA
rnacentral:misc_RNA from 1 species